GUGCGAGUCAAGGCGCUCUGAGCCUCUGUUCGUCCCGGCUUUUGCAUCCCUCUUAUGCAACUUCUGGCGCCGCUACAGCGGGAUACUGUACGCAAGGCACAGAUAACUCCUAGAAUCCACUCCUUGAGCUCGGGAGACUUGGACAUCCUGAAAUCCGUGUGAAUUCCUUGAAACACAAACAAGAAGGCCAAGGCAAAGCUGCAGCCAAUAUCAAGAAGCCAAGAAAAGCUGCACCCAAAAGUGCGAUGACAUCAACAUAAGGAGGGAGUGCAUCCUGUGAAGCCUUAUUGUCUACCUCAACAAAGACCCAGAUGUGUUUUUCAAGAAAUACUUG